ACCCGCUGAACUUAAGCAUAUCAAUAAGCGGAGGAAAAGAAACUAACAAGGAUUCCCCUAGUAACGGCGAGUGAAGCGGGAAGAGCUCAAAUUUGAAAUCUGGCGGUCUCAGGCCGUCCGAGUUGUAGUCUGGAGAAGCGUUUUCCGCGUCGGACCGUGUAUAAGUCUCUUGGAACAGGGCGUCAUAGAGGGUGAGAAUCCCGUCUUUGACACGGACUACCGAUGCUUUGUGAUGCGCUCUCGAAGAGUCGAGUUGUUUGGGAAUGCAGCUCAAAACGGGUGGUAAAUUCCAUCUAAAGCUAAAUAUUGGCGAAAGACCGAUAGCGAACAAGUACCGUGAGGGAAAGAUGAAAAGCACUUUGGAAAGAGAGUUAAAAAGUACGUGAAAUUGUUGAAAGGGAAACGAUUGAAGUCAGUCGCGUCUCUCAGGACUCAGCCCGGCUUCUGCCUGGUGCAUUUCCUGAGACGACGGGCCAGCAUCAAUUUCGACCGAUAGAGAAAGGCGAGGGGAAUGUGGCACCUUCGGGUGUGUUAUAGCCCCUCGUCGUAUGUAUCGGUCGGGAUUGAGGAUCGCAGCACGCCUUAAUGGCCGGGGUUCGCCCACGUAACGUGCUUAGGAUGCUGGCGUAAUGGCUUUAAACGACCCGUCUUGAAACACGG
rnacentral:rRNA from 1 species